GGGGGUGUAUCAGAUUCGACGGGAGAGGCUGUGUCCGUGUUGCAAGCCGUGGAGCAUGUCCACGUAAAAACAGGCAAGGCAUUAACUGCCAACAAUAACACAUUCGCUCUGCCCCUAGCAGCCUAAGGCUACUAGCCAGAGUGUUAACCCUGCGGGGUUAACCGUUCACCCCAAUCGUCGCUAUGCGGCUGGAUCGGUGGGCGUAAUCAAUCAUAGCGUGCGGCACUGCAUACACCGAUAACGCAGGUCAAAGAAAAUAUCGGUUAGCCGUCGGCAUAUCUCGCCAGUUAGAGCUACCGGCGGUGAAAUUAAAGAAUUGGCUACGCUUGUAGACGCACGUCCACGAAUCUUUUGGACACCGGUGCAAUUCCGGUCACCUCCACAA
rnacentral:tmRNA from 1 species